AUUGAACGCUGGCGGCAGGCCUAACACAUGCAAGUCGAACGAGUGGCGGAAGGGUGAGUAAUGUCUGGGAAACUGUCUGAUGGAGGGGGAUAACUACUGGAAAUGGUAGCUAAUACCGAAUACCACCAGAUGUGCCCAGAUGGGCUUAGCUUGUUGGUGGGGUAACGGCUCAACAAGGCUACGAUCCCUAGCUGGUCUGAGAGGAUAACCAGCCAACCUGGAACUGGGCGACGGUCCAGACCCCGACGGGAGGCAGCAUGGGGGAAUAGUGCACAAUGGGCGCAAGCCUGAUGCAUCCAUGCCGCGUGUGUGAAGAAGGCCUUCGGGUUGUAAAGUACUUUCAGCGGGGAGGCGUUACUCGCAGAAGAAGCACCGGCUAACUCCGUGCCAGCAGCCGCGGUAAUAC
rnacentral:rRNA from 1 species